UGUCAAUUUAUCUAUUCCUUU
rnacentral:piRNA from 1 species